rnacentral:sRNA from 1 species
CCAUUUCUCGCCAUGGCCCCUGCACUGCUCCUGGUCCCUGCUGCCCUCGCCUCUUUCAUCCUGGCCUUUGGCACCGGAGUGGAGUUCGUGCGCUUUACCUCCCUUCGGCCACUUCUUGGAGGGAUCCCGGAGUCUGGUGGUCCGGAUGCCCGCCAGGGAUGGCUGGCUGCCCUGCAGGACCGCAGCAUCCUUGCCCCCCUGGCAUGGGAUCUGGGGCUCCUGCUUCUAUUUGUUGGGCAGCACAGCCUCAUGGCAGCUGAAAGAGUGAAGGCAUGGACAUCCCGGUACUUUGGGGUCCUUCAGAGGUCACUGUAUGUGGCCUGCACUGCCCUGGCCUUGCAGGUAUGAGGCCCUGGCCUUGCAGGUAUACUACCAUGUGCUGGGGCUGGGCGAGCCUCUGGCCCUGAAGUCUCCCCGGGCUCUCAGACUCUUCUCCCACCUGCGCCACCCAGUGUGUGUGGAGCUGCUGACAGUGCUGUGGGUGGUGCCUACCCUGGGCACGGACCGUCUCCUCCUUGCUUUCCUCCUUACCCUCUACCUGGGCCUGGCUCACGGGCUUGAUCAGCAAGACCUCCGCUACCUCCGGGCCCAGCUACAAAGAAAACUCCACCUGCUCUCUCGGCCCCAGGAUGGGGAGGCAGAGUGAGGAGCUCACUCUGGUUACAAGCCCUGUUCUUCCUCUCCCCCUGAAUUCUAAAUCCUUAACAUCCAAGCCCUGGCUGCUUCAUGCCAGAGGCCCAAAUCCAUGGACUGAAGGAGCUGCCCCUUCUACUACUUGAGACUUUAUUCUCUGGGUCCAGCUCCAUACCCUAAAUUCUGAGUUUCAGCCACUGAACUCCAAGGUCCACUUCUCACCAGCAAGGAAGAGUGGGGUAUGGAAGUCAUCUGUCCCUUCACUGUUUAGAGCAUGACACUCUCCCCCUCAACAGCCUCCUGAGAAGGAAAGGAUCUGCCCUGACCACUCCCCUGGCACUGUUACUUGCCUCUGCGCCUCAGGGGUCCCCUUCUGCACCGCUGGCUUCCACUCCAAGAAGGUGGACCAGGGUCUGCAAGUUCAACGGUCAUAGCUGUCCCUCCAGGCCCCAACCUUGCCUCACCACUCCCGGCCCUAGUCUCUGCACCUCCUUAGGCCCUGCCUCUGGGCUCAGACCCCAACCUAGUCAAGGGGAUUCUCCUGCUCUUAACUCGAUGACUUGGGGCUCCCUGCUCUCCCGAGGAAGAUGCUCUGCAGGAAAAUAAAAGUCAGCCUUUUUCUACAUA